rnacentral:rRNA from 1 species
AUUGAACGCUGGCGGCAGGCUUAACACAUGCAAGUCGAACGAGUGGCGGACGGGUGAGUAAUGUCUGGGAAACUGCCUGAUGGAGGGGGAUAACUACUGGAAACGGUAGCUAAUACCGCAUACCAUCGGAUGUGCCCAGAUGGGAUUAGCUCGUAGGUGGGGUAAAGGCUCACCUAGGCGACGAUCCCUAGCUGGUCUGAGAGGAUGACCAGCCACACUGGAACUGAGACACAGUCCAGAAUCCUACGGGAGGCAGCAGUGGGGAAUAUUGAACAAUGGGCGCAAGCCGGAUGCAGCCAUGCCGCGUGUAGGAAGAAGGCCUUAGGGUUGUAAAGUACUUUCAGCGAGGAGGCGUUACUCGCAGAAGAAGCACCGGCUAACUCCGUGCCAGCAGCCGCGGUAAUAC